AGGAUCAUUGUCGAUGCCUUACAUGCCGUCCGGCUGGCCUAAAAACGAGUCCUCGGCGACGAUCGCCACGACAAUCGGUGGAUAUCACCAAACCCCCGGCACGAAAAGGGUCAAGGAAAAUGCAAUUAAACAGCCUGCUUUCGCCAACCCGGAGACGGUGUUUGUUCGGAAGCAGUGUGCCAAUGUAAAGUCUAAAACGACUCUCGGCAACGGAUAUCUCGGCUCUCGCAUCGAUGAAGAACGUAGCGAAAUGCGAUACUUGGUGUGAAUUGCAGAAUCCCGCGAAUCAUCGAGUCUUUGAACGCAAGUUGCGCCCGAAGCCACCUGGCCGAGGGCACGUCUGCCUGGGUGUCACGCAUCGUUGCCCCCAACCCCAUCGCCCUGCAAAGAGGCGGUGGGGGCAUGCGGGGCGGACAUUGGCCUCCCGUGGGCUGAUGCCUGCGGCUGGCCUAAAAACGAGUCCUCGGCGACGAUCGCCACGACAAUCGGUGGUUGACAAACCUUCGUGACCCGUCGUGCGCGCAUCGCCGCUCAACGCGUGCUCUUUUGACCCUGUCGCGUCGCGCUCGCGACGCUUCCAACGCGACCCCAGGUCAGGCGGGACUACCCGCUGAG
rnacentral:rRNA from 1 species